rnacentral:rRNA from 1 species
UAGGGAAUCUUCCGCAAUGGGCGAAAGCUUGACGGAGCAACGCCGCGUGAGUGAUGAAGGUCUUCGGAUCGUAAAACUCUGUUAUUAGGGAAGAACAAAUGUGUAAGUAACUAUGCACGUCUUGACGGUACUUAACCAGAAAGGGACGGCUAACUACGUGCCAGCAGCCGCGGUAAUACGUAGGUCCCGAGCGUUGUCCGGAUUUAUUGGGCGUAAAGCGAGCGCAGGCGGUUAGAAAAGUCUGAAGUGAAAGGCAGUGGCUCAACCAUUGUAGGCUUUGGAAACUGUUUAACUUGAGUGCAGAAGGGGAGAGUGGAAUUCCAUGUGUAGCGGUGAAAUGCGUAGAUAUAUGGAGGAACACCGGUGGCGAAAGCGGCUCUCUGGUCUGUAACUGACGCUGAGGCUCGAAAGCGUGGGGAGCGAACAGG